rnacentral:rRNA from 1 species
UACGUAGGGUCCGAGCGUUAUCCGGAAUUAUUGGGCGUAAAGAGCUCGUAGGCGGUUUGUCGCGUCUGCCGUGAAAGUCCGGGGCUCAACUCCGGAUCUGCGGUGGGUACGGGCAGACUAGAGUGAUGUAGGGGGAGACUGGAAUUCCUGGUGUAGCGGUGAAAUGCGCAGAUAUCAGGAGGAACACCGAUGGCGAAGGCAGGUCUCUGGGCAUUAACUGACGCUGAGGAGCGAAAGCAUGGGGAGCGAACAGG